rnacentral:rRNA from 1 species
AGUGAACGCUGGCGGUAGGCCUAACACAUGCAAGUCGAACGGCAGCACAGUAAGAGCUUGCUCUUACGGGUGGCGAGUGGCGGACGGGUGAGGAAUACAUCGGAAUCUACUUUUUCGUGGGGGAUAACGUAGGGAAACUUACUCUAAUACCGCAUACGACCUACGGGUGAAAGCAUGGGAUCUUCUGACCUUGCGCGAUUGAAUUAGCCGAUGUGGGAUUAGCUAGUUGGCGGGGUAAAGGCCCACCAAGGCGACGAUCCGUAGCUGGUCUGAGAGGAUGAUCAGCCACACUGGAACUGAGACACGGUCAAGAGUACUACGGGAGGGAGCAGUGGGGAAUAUUGGACAAAGGGGGCAAGCAUGAUACAGCCAUACCGCGUGGGUGAAGAAGGCCUUCGGGUUGUAAAGCCGUUUUGUUGGGAAAGAAAAGCAGCAGGUUAAUACGCAGCUGUUCUGACGGUAACCAAAGAAUAAGCACCGGCUAACUUCGUG